GGGCACCCAGGGGGCAGCAGGAAAGCAGGGACACACUCAUCAUCCAGAACGAUGAGCCAUUCUGCAAGUCUUCAGUGAGCUCCUUCCUGUGCCACGUGCCAUGCUGGGGGAUAGGAACGUAACAGUGAUCGUGAGGGACAUAAAUGGAGCUGCGGUCCUCGGAGAAGUAGACAAAUAAGCAAAACCAUGAUGCCUCAUGUAUUGCUAAGAGCUACAGAGACAAGAGAGGAAGGAGGUGUCUGGGGUCAGAGACAGCCUCACUGUAUUGGAGCAGAGACCUGAAGGAGGAGUGAGAGCAAGCCACCUUUGGGACAGCCAGGACCACAGCCACAAGUGUGCCCUCCCAGGUGGACACGGAGAGGACCCGGUACGGUAACCAUCCCAGAGGUGUCUUCCAUCCCUCUCUCUUCCCACACUGCUUCUGAGCCAACAACAGAAACCUGAGAAACUGAGCUGGAACAGAUGGGGAAACUGAGGCCCAGAGGGGCUGCCCACAUGCUACAGGCUGCUCAGUGGGAGAGUGGCUGAAUGGACUUCUGGAACAGUACUGGCUCUGGGUCACAGACGACAACCCGCAGGACCCCGCUGAGCUGUGUGACCAUGGGCCGGCCCCUUCACUUCGCAGAGCCUCAUUGUCCUCAUCUGAAGAAAAGGGUCAUUAAAAUAAAACAACAACAAAAAACUACCUCCCAGAUUUUUGUGGGGCUUCAGUGGGACACCAGCUCGCAGGGCUUAGAAGAGCA